rnacentral:lncRNA from 10 species
UAGCCAGGAUAGUGUUGAUCUCCUGACCUUGUGAUCCGCCUGCCUUGGCCUCCCAAAGUGCUGGGAUUACAGGCUUGAGCCACUGAGCCCAGCCAAGUACUAGUUAAUUUUUAAGACUGCAAAAGGGUCCCGAGACGGUAGUGUUUUGAGAUCUGCUGUCUUAGUGUAUUGUGGAGGGUUUGGGACUGUAAAGUAUAGGUGAGGAGGUUAAUUUGGGAAAGAUGAUGCAUCUGAGACAUAAAUGAGGGGCUCAUGAUCCCAGCAACAUAUUAUUUGGAUAAUGAACAGAAGAUCUUGGUCUUGCAAGUGAUAGAAUUCUUGAGAAUGAGGCUGUGGUAGAAUAGAAAGACUAGCUUUGGAGUCAGAUUGUCCCUGGUUCAAAUCCCAGCUCUACAAUUCAGUUACUAAGUGUGCAAUCUUGGGUAAAUUGCAUAAACUGUGGGUCUCAGUUUCGUCUUCUAUAAGAUAAAGGUAGAAUCUACCUCAUGGGUUGCUGUGAGAAUUAAAUCAAGGUCAUACAGGCUAGAGCACAGGUGCCAUCAUGGCUCACUGCAACCUCAAUCUCUAGAGCUCAAGCAAUCCUUCCACCUCAUUCUCCCAGGUAGCUGGGACUGCAGGUGUGUGCCAACAUGCCCAGCUAAUGUAUCUUAUUUUAAUUAAUUAAUUAAUUUUAUUAUUAUUAUUAUUUUUUUUUGAGAGGGAGUCUCACUCUCGCCCAGGCUGGAGUGCAGUGGCGUGAUCCUGGCUCGCUGCAACUCUCACCUCCCGGGUUCAAGCAGUUCUCCUGCCUCAGCCUCCCGAGUAGCUGAGACUAUAGGCAAGUACCACCAUGCUCAGCUAAUUUUUGUAUUUUUAGUAGAGACAGGUUUCACCAUAUUGAUCAGGCUGGUCUCAAACUCCUGACCUCGUGAUCCACCUGCAUUGGCCUCCCAAAGUACUGUGAUUACAGGUGUGAGCCACAGCGCCCGGCCUAUUUUAUUUUAUUUUUAUUUUUUUAUUUUGAGACAAGGUCUGGUUCUGUCACCCAGACUGGAAUGCAGUGGUGCGAUCUUGGCUCACUGCAACCUCCGCCUCCUGGGCUCAAGCCGUCCUCCCGCCUCAGGCUCCCAAGUAGCUGGAACUACAGGGGCAUGCCACCACACUUGGUUAAUUUUGGUAUUUUUUUUUCUACAGACCAGGUUUUGCCAUGUUACUGGUCUUGAACUCCUGGGCUCAAAUGAUCUGCCAGCCUUGGCUUCCCAAAGUGCUGGGAUUACAGUUGUGAGCCACUACACC